GGCGCCGACUGCGGCCUCAGGAACCUGCACAACGACACGGCUGCGGCCGUGGCCGUCAGCGCCCAGGUGAUCGACAUCCUGCGGGGCAAAGCCUCGAGACCCCCCCAGGACCCCCCAAAAUCCCCCCGGGACCCCCCCAAUGACCCCGCCUCUGAAGCCACGCCCUCCUCCGCAUCAGGAGCCACGCCCACUUCCGCACAAACAGCCAAUCGGGUGGAAGGGGCGGAGCUUCCCGGCAGAUUAACGGGAGCUCAGGGAGGCCCCGCCCACCAGCAGAGCAGGGACCAAUCAGAAGCGGUCACGGCGAGGCCACGCCCCUUUGGGCCUCAGAGGCUCCGCCCACGGGAGGGGCGGGGCCAGAGCAGCAUUAACGGAGAAUAGAAAAGAAAAGAAAAUAAAAUAAAAUAAAAUAAAAUAAAAUAAAAUAAA